GUGAGUAACAUUUGGAAUUUAAAAGUCGUGUGGCCAAUCGAGAGAGAGGGAGAAAAAGAUCACAACAAACUGCAAAACGACAACUAAAACAAAACAAUAUGAACAAAAAAAACAAUAACAAUGAGAGAAAUAAGACACUACCACCUACAGCAUAAGGAACAACGAUAACAACAAUACAAUUACCACUAAGAAGAAGAAGAAGAAGAAGAAGAAGGAAAACAACAACAACAACAACAACACUCCCUAACAUUAGCUAGGGGGGGGGGGGCACGAGAAGACGCAAACCACAGCACCUCUCAUGACGCUGGGUAGUUACCUUUUUUUAGGAUUCGUGCCCCGCGUUUCCUGCCGCGCCUCCUUCAGCCUCCCACAAGGUCACCGGCCCCCGCCAACCUGCAGGGACUCGGACAAAGCGGACCUCGGACCCCCAGGCGGCUAAGGAUCUGUCUACCCUGUCCCCCGUCCUGCCCCGGCCUGCCCCACCCACCCUGCCCGCCUACCCGUCCCCGGCCUGCCCUUCCCGUCCCUGCGAUUCCCUCCCGCCCACAUCUCUCCCUUUGUCAAGACUUCUUAUUCAAUGCCUCCCUGUUUGACCUGCUUCUAUGUGUGUGUGUGUGUGUGUGUGUGUGUGUGCGCGCGUGUGCGCGGUUCAUCAGGUUUUCAUACGUCACACAAUACAAGUUCUGAACGUGGUGAACGGGGGGAUGGAGGUGGGAGAAGAAUAAGAGAGUAUGGGAGAUAAGGAAAAUGAGAAGGUGAGAUAGAUGAGGGGGAGGGACAGGAACGAGAGGGUAUGGGAGAUAAUGGAAAUGAUGGAUGAGAGAGAGGAUGAGGGAGGAGAAAGUAUACGGGAGAUAAGGGAAAAAGAGGAUGACGGGGAUAGAUGAAGAGAAGGGAAGAUGGUGAUGCGUGAGGGGAAAGGUGAAUGAGAGAGAGAGAGAGGAAAGAAAGUUGAGGGAGAAGAAAGUUCGGAGAAAGGAAAGCGACAAGAGGAUAACAGGGGGGUGAGGGAGAGGAGGAUGAGGGAGGGUGAGGCAGAAGAGUAAUAUCAGAGAGAAAACGAAGACGCAGAAUGAGAUAGAAGAACAUAAAACAAAGGAAAACAAAAUGGAGUGAGAAAAAGAGGAAAUACGAGUAAGCGAGGGUAAGGGAGAAGAGGGUGAGGCAGGCAGGGAGUCAGGCAUUAAGGGAGGCAGGGAGGGUAAGGGAGGGAGGGAGAAGCAGCCUACUGACCUUUACGAGAGCUUACAAUACAUGCAUACAAGGCCAUACCACGUCGAUGUGUGUGCGUGUGUGUGUGUAUACAAAACGGUGUGACGCAUAGGUGACUCAUGCACACGGAAAGUUAAUUAAAGGUGUAGGAGAUAAUUAUGUCAGGUGUCUAUAAAAGCGUCUCGGGUCUGUAUGGGAAGUGUCACGUGUGUAAAGAAGGAACUAGAUGUGUAUUGGGGAGUGUCAGGUGUGCAUGGGAUCUGUCAGGUGUGUGUGGGAGUAUCAGGUGUGUGUGGAGAGAUGUCAUGUGUGUAUGGGAAACGUCAGGUGUGAAUGGAAAGAGUUAAUGCACAUGGGAAGGUGUGAAGGAUAUAUAGAAGUCAGAUGUGUAUGCGAGAGGAGGAGUCAGGUGUAUAGGGAAGGCGUGGAGUGAGAUCAGAUGUGUAUAUAAUAAAGUGCCACAUGUAAACGGUAAAAAUAUCUGGUGUUUAGGAGAGAAGUGUCAGUUGUGUAAAAGAUGUCAGAUGUGUGUAAGAGGAGCCAGGUGUAUAAGGAGGGCGUGGAGUGAGAUCAGGUGUGUAUAUAAUAAAGUGCCACAUGUAAACGGUAAAAAUAUCUGGUGUUUACGAGAGAAGUGUCAGCUGUGUGUAAGAGAAAGAUGUGUGUAAGAGGAGUCAGGUAUAUAUGGAAGUGUGCAUGGAUAGAUCAGGUGUGUAUAGAAGUGCCACCUGCAAAGAUAUCAGGUGUUUACGAGUGGAGUGUCAUGUGUGUAAGAGAAGGAUGAGUGGAAGGCUUGUACCAUAUGUGUGUGAGAAACGUCAGGUGUGUGGGCGGGGAGUUUGGAAAUUGGCGUUACGUGUGUGCUUUCAGGUGUGUAUGGGAACUGUCAGGUGUGUGUGUUGAACAUGUUUUGGAAUUGGUUUAAAGGUAUAGCUCUUUUAUUCAACGGGUGAGUGCAUGGCGUCCCCCCUCUUCUUCUCCGCCCCCUCCCCUCAUCUUCACGCUCCUUUAACUUCGUAUCCCCAACCUAAAAAAAAACGUAAUAUUUGCCAAACUCACUUUCAAUCGCACCGUAUUUGUCGUUCCCCCGCCCUUCCCUCUCCUUGCUCCUCUCUCCC